UUGUCGCGUUGUUCGUGAAAUCUCACGGCUUAACUGUGAGCGUGCGGGCGAUACGGGCAGACUUGAGUACUGCAGGGGAGACUGGAAUUCCUGGUGUAGCGGUGGAAUGCGCAGAUAUCAGGAGGAACACCGGUGGCGAAGGCGGGUCUCUGGGCAGUAACUGACGCUGAGGAGCGAAAGCGUGGGGAGCGAACAGGAUUAGAUACCCUGGUAGUCCACGCCGUAAACGGUGGGUACUAGGUGUGGGUUUCCUUCCUUGGGAUCCGUGCCGUAGCUAACGCAUUAAGUACCCCGCCUGGGGAGUACGGCCGCAAGGCUAAAACUCAAAGAAAUUGACGGGGGCCCGCACAAGCGGCGGAGCAUGUGGAUUAAUUCGAUGCAACGCGAAGAACCUUACCUGGGUUUGACAUGCACAGGACGCCGGCAGAGAUGUCGGUUCCCUUGUGGCCUGUGUGCAGGUGGUGCAUGGCUGUCGUCAGCUCGUGUCGUGAGAUGUUGGGUUAAGUCCCGCAACGAGCGCAACCCUUGUCUCAUGUUGCCAGCGGGUAAUGCCGGGGACUCGUGAGAGACUGCCGGGGUCAACUCGGAGGAAGGUGGGGAUGACGUCAAGUCAUCAUGCCCCUUAUGUCCAGGGCUUCACACAUGCUACAAUGGCCGGUACAAAGGGCUGCGAUGCCGCGAGGUUAAGCGAAUCCUUUUAAAGCCGGUCUCAGUUCGGAUCGGGGUCU
rnacentral:rRNA from 1 species